UGGAAAAAAUAUCAAACGAUAACUACCACAUCAAGACAGCAUCAGUGCUGGAUGCGGAUAAAUUCUGGGACAGUGUGGCUACUUACAUUGACAAUCCACGUGGACCUACUUUGCUUUUUGAUGUUUUGGUAAGGGACGGCGGUGGUCUAAGUGCUCUUUCAAAUAUCAAUGUCACAGUCACAGACAUCGGUGAUAUCAAACCAGUUUUGCAAAA